UACGUAGGGUGCAAGCGUUGUCCGGAAUUAUUGGGCGUAAAGAGCUCGUAGGCGGUCUGUCGCGUCGGCUGUGAAAUCCCGAGGCUCAACCUCGGGUCUGCAGUCGAUACGGGCAAACUAGAGUAUUGCAGGGGAGACUGGAAUUCCUGGUGUAGCGGUGAAAUGCGCAGAUAUCAGGAGGAACACCGGUGGCGAAGGCGGGUCUCUGGGCCGAAAUUGACGCUGAGGAGCGAAAGCGUGGGGAGCAAACAGG
rnacentral:rRNA from 1 species